rnacentral:rRNA from 1 species
UACGGAGGGUGCAAGCAUUAAUCGGAUUUACUGGGCGUAAAGGGCGCGUAGGCGGCAAUUCAAGUCAGCUGUGAAAUCUCCGGGCUUAACUCGGAACGGUCAGCUGAUACUGCUUUGCUAGAGUGCGGAAGGGGCAAUCGGAAUUCUCGGUGUAGCGGUGAAAUGCGUAGAUAUCGGGAGGAACACCUGAGGUGAAGACGGGUUGCUGGGCCGACACUGACGCUGAGGCGCGAAAGCGUGGGGAGCGAACAGG